rnacentral:rRNA from 1 species
AUUGAACGCUGGCGGCAGGCCUAACACAUGCAAGUCGAGCGAGCGGCGGACGGGGGAGUAAUGUAUGGGGACUGCCCGAUAGAGGGGGAUAACUACUGGAAACGGUGGCUAAUACCGCAUACUAUCGGAUAACCCAUAUGGGAUUAGCUAGUAGGUGGGGUAAAGGCUCACAUAGGCAACGAUAGCUAGCUGGUCUGAGAGGAUGAGCAGCCACACGGGGACUGAGACAGGGCCCAGACUCCAAGGGAGGCAGCAGGGGGGAAUAUUGCACAAUGGGCGCAGGCCUGAUGCAGCCAUGCCGCGUGUAGGAAGAAGGCCUUAGGGUUGUAAAGUAUGUUCAGCGGGGAGACGUUACCCGCAGAAAAAGCACCGGCUAACUACGUGCCAGCCGCCGCGGUAAUAC